UACGGGGGGGGCAAGCGUUGUUCGGAAUUACUGGGCGUAAAGGGCUCGUAGGCGGCCAACUAAGUCAGACGUGAAAUCCCUCGGCUUAACCGGGGAACUGCGUCUGAUACUGGACGGCUUGAGUUCGGGAGAGGGAUGCGGAAUUCCAGGUGUAGCGGUGAAAUGCGUAGAUAUCUGGAGGAACACCGGUGGCGAAGGCGGCAUCCUGGACCGACACUGACACUGAGGAGCGAAAGCCAGGGGAGCAAACGGG
rnacentral:rRNA from 1 species